rnacentral:rRNA from 1 species
AUUGAACGCUGGCGGCAGGCCUAACACAUGCAAGUCGAGCGAGCGGCGGACGGGUGAGUAAUGUAUGGGGACUGCCCGAUAGCGGGGGAUAACUACUGGAAACGGUGGCUAAUACCGCCUACUAUCGGAUCACCCAUAGGGGAGUCGCUAGGUGGGGGGGUAAAGUCUCACCUAGGCGACGAUCUCUAGCUGGUCUGAGAGGAUGAUAAGACACACUGGGACUGAGACACGGCCCAGACUCUUACGGAGGCAGCAGUGUGGAAUAUUGCCCAAUGGGCGCAAGCCUGAUGCAGCCAUGCCGCGUGUAUGAAGAAGGCCUUAGGGUUGUAAAGUACUUUCAGCGGGGAGGCGUUACCCGCAGAAGAAGCACCGGCUAACUCCGUGCCAGCAGCCGCGGUAAUAC